CACCACAGCCACCACGCUGACGC
rnacentral:miRNA from 1 species